UAAAAAACACGAGUUACAGAGAGAAAAAAUACAGAAGAACAACUGAGAACUUGAAUGACUGUACAUACAGCUAUGGACACACAAAAAAAUUACAGCAAAAUUCCAUUUUACUAAACUAUUUGGGCAGACAAUGUGCUGGCAAACCAUUUUGAAUAGUUAGUUUUGGUGAGUGUAUUCCGGAGUUCCAAAAUAAUAAGCUUUG
rnacentral:misc_RNA from 1 species